AGUAACCCAGACCCUGUGCUAAGUGGCAUCGAGGUGGCAGAGAGCACUAAGACUGGGACAUGUCCUCAGGGAAGUUACAGACAGCCUGCUGAGAGUGCCCAGCAUAGGCCGGAUGUCCUUUUGACCUUGGAAAGGCUGUGCUGGACAUUUCAAAGACUGCAGAAGCAGGCAGUGUAACAGAGCCAAGAAACACCCUUCAGAGAGAUCCCAGCCGGAGUGUCCCUGCCUCUAAGAAGCAGCUUACAGGAACUGGCAGAGAGGAGCCCAGAAGAGAGGGAGGUGUGACACUGAAAGAGGCUUUGGUUUUGCCAGAAGACGCACCUGGGACCAGAGGUCAAAAUCAUGAGCCCCAACUCCAUCCAAGGAAGAACUUCCUCCCUGCCAUGACAUCCUCCAGCUCAGCAUAUAGCUCUUGAGGAGACUUCUUCUUGUACUUAUGAAGACAGAGUUGGGCAAGACGGUUCAAAAGUCCCAGAAUCGAGGAGCUGAAGCAGGGCUCUUGUUGGAGGCUGCUGUCCUAUCUGUGGCUCACCUGCGUCUCUCCAGUGGUGCAGAAAUCAUUGGCAAGUGUCACAUGUGCCUGUGCACACGCUUGCUCAAAUCACGGCAAAGGAGACCUCGAGACUCUGAAGAGAAUGUGUGGCUUCUGGUUUGGUAGAAAAACAGAAGCAUCACAGCUCCAGAAUUUCCCCCAGCCUCAUCCUAUGUGCUUUUACAUCACUCAGAAGAAGUCCAUUUUACUACCUGCUGAAGGUUUGAGGGAAGCAUGAUUCAUCCCAGCAACUCACUGCCGGUCCAAAGCACACAUUCUGGCCUCGGAGCGUCUGAGGAAAAGAUGGAGGAGUUCUCAAAUAAGAAACAAACAGCAACACUGCAGUGCAGAGGGGAGAAGAUGGCUCUUUCAAUGAAAUGCUUCUGGGUCAACUGGCUAUUCAUAGAGGAAAAAAGACAUAUUUUAACGCCUACCUCUUACCACACACAUAAAUCAAUCCCAGUUGAUCAAUAAGCUUUCAGAAGAAAACACAGGAGAACAUCUUCAUGCCCUUGGAGUAGGUAACAAUCUCUUACAUGGGGAAAAAAUGUCACUAACCGUAAAGAGUCAAAUCGAGAAACUGGAUGAGAGUCUUUUCUCAGUAUCCACAGGGGAUCGGUUCCAGAACCCACCAUAGAUACCAAAAUCUGUGUAUGCUGCAGAGCCGGGCAGCCCUCCAUUCCUCUUCCAAGGAUCUGAUCAACCAUGGGUUGUAAACACAGCACUACCUGUUGUAAGUGAACCCAUGCAGUUCAAGCCCGUGUUGAUCAAGGGUCAAUGGCAUAUUAAAAUCAAGAACUUCUGCUCAUGAAAAACAUACCAUGGAGAAAGUAAAAAGGCAGCCUACAGAGUGGAAGAAGAUAUUUGUAACACAGAUAGAACUAAUAUCCAGAAUAUAUAUAAAAAAAAAACUUUUGUAAAUCUGUAAGAAAGAGAAAACCCAGAAGAAAAUAGGCAAAAGGCUCAAAGAGACACUUCACAGAAACAGAAUAUCCAAAUGGCCAAUAAACUUAAUGAAAAAUGGCUUGUUAUUAGUCAUCAGGGAAAUGCAAAUUAAAAUCUAUAUGCAAUCCAGCAACACACCCAUAAGAAUGACCAAAUUUUAAAAGAUGGGAAAUACCUCAUAUUGGCAAGGAUGUGGAGCAACCAGAACUCUCAUAGCUGCCAGUAGUUAAAUUGGCACAUGAUCUUUGGAAAAUAGUUUGGUGGUAUCUACUAGGGCUGAAUAUAUACAUAUUUUAUAUAUAAGUUCUCUCCUAGUAUAGAAUGUACACAUGUUCACCAAAAGACAUGUACAGGAAUAUCGAUAGCUAUUCAGAACAGCUGAAAUCAGAAAACCUCCCAGAUACCUAUAACAAUAGAAUGGGAAAAUAAAUUAUAAUAUACUCACAACAUAACCAUGGGAAUGUGUGAACUACUACCACGUGCAGCAAUAGAGGGAUCAAGCCUACAAACAUGGUAUUGAAUGACAGCAGGCAGUCACUAAUGAGUAUAUUCUGCAUGUUUCCUUUAUGGAAAGUAAGAAAUCAGACAAAAUUCUUCUAGGCUAUUAGAAGUCAGGUUAGUGGUUACUUGGAGAAGGGUGUAGGAACAAGCCUGGGUUAUCAGGAAGACUGCACUUCUCAGGUGUGAUAUCCUAUUUACUGAUCUAUGUGCUGCUGCAAAGGUGUAUUCACUUGGUAAAAAUUUAUUGAGCUGUGUAGUUAUUAUAAAGGCCGGCUAUUGCCGCAACAAACCACCCCCAUACCCAGUGGCAGGCAAUAAGUAUUUACUUCCUGCUGACUUCUUGUGGGUAGAGUUCUGGGUUGGGCUGGGUUGGCCUUGGCUCUAAGCUGCUGGAUGAGGGCAGGGCCACUCCACACGACUCGCUUCCUCCUUUAACUGGCAGCUCUCCGAGGUAUGUUCUUUUAAGGUGAAAGGCAGGAUCCCAAGAUGGGUGAAAGAAAAUAUACAGGUCUCUUAAGGUCUAGGCUAGGAACCCGUGUCCUUUGACUGCUGCCCACAUUCCAUUGGCCAAAGCCAAUCAUGUGGCCAAGUCCAAACUCACUGGGGAAAUAGGCUUCUCUCAUGGAAGUCAAUGUGAAGCGUGAAAAUUUGGUGAAUACUAACUUCUCAGAGGUGCAGUUUUCCAUGUGAAUUUCAUGUUUCAAAAAAAUUUUUUUUUAAGGAAACCAAAAAAAGGUGUAGGAACAGCUAUACUCCCUUGUCCUCACCCCUUACUCCUCCUGGUCUUUAGUGAAGAAGGGAUGUGCUUAUGAAAAGUCUCUGUACAAGCCCAGGGAAGAAAGGAAGGAAGAACAUGCAAUUCCCUCGCACACAAUGCACUUCUUCUCUGCUGGGUUGAGAGAAAUGUCUCCGUGGUCAGCCACCCCUGCUGGAGGAACGGAGUACCAGUUCACCUUCCUCCAGGUGCAGCUGAAGGGCUGGUACUCAAGGACCCCCGGUUUUCCCAGUCCCUGCGGCUCACCUUCAAUGGCUCCCUCUCACAGUGAAAUUGCUUAGCAAAAGUAGAACUUUUUCAACCAGAAGGAAGGAGCUGCCUAUUUAUUUAUUUAUUUAUUUAGGAAAAAAGUCAAACAAAAGUUGAAUAACAUGGAUACCUGGCAGAGACUCAGGAAAACUGAGUAUCUCAGCAAAAUGGCGAAAUCCCUUACCUUAAAUUCCAUUUUCGGCUGAAGACAAAAGAGGAACUGAGAAACUAGUGAAUAUAACAAAAAAAGAAGCAGACUCACAGAUGCAGAGAACA